GGUGUUUGGAUCAUGGGACCAAUUCCUCAUGGCUUGGUGCUGCUGCCUUUGCAACAAUGGUGAGGGGAGGAUGCUCAGUGAAGCACUUGGCCCCACUGACAAGACCAAAUCAGGAAAAUUGGAGAACUGUCUGCUUUCACUGGGUGACAGAUGGAAAAUUAGCUCCCUUUUCGGCCCUUCCAUCACCACUGGCUCCAAGGGCAUUUUUCUUGAAAAACAAAGUGGAGCCUACUUGGUCGUGAUGGAUAUCCUUCUUGAUGUGCUGUUGCAAUUGAUAGACUGGACAAAGAAAAUGUGGCACAUAUACACCAUGGAAUACUAUGCAGCCAUAAAAAACGAUGAGUUCGUGUCCAUUGUAGGGACUUAGAUGAAUCUGGAAACCACCAUUCUCAGCAAACUGACCCAAGAACAGAAAACCAAGCACUGUAUGUUCUCACUCAUAGGAGGGUGUUAAACAAUGAGAACACAUGGACUCAGGGAGAAGAGCAUCACACACAGGGGACAGUUGGGGGGGUAGGGGAGAGACAAUGGGGGAUGGGGAAGGAGGGGAGGGUGGGGAGGGAUAACAU
rnacentral:lncRNA from 1 species